rnacentral:rRNA from 1 species
UACGAACUGUGCGAACGUUAUUCGGAAUCACUGGGCUUAAAGGGUGCGUAGGCGGUUAUCUAAGUAGGGUGUGAAAUGCCCCGGCUCAACCGGGGAACUGCGCUCUAGACUGGAUGGCUUGAGUGAGAUAGAGGUGUGCGGAACUUCCGGUGGAGCGGUGAAAUGUGUUGAUAUCGGAGGGAACACCGUUGGCGAAAGCGGCACACUGGGUCUUAACUGACGCUGAGGCACGAAAGCCAGGGGAGCGAACGGG